rnacentral:rRNA from 1 species
GACGAACGCUGGCGGCGUGCUUAACACAUGCAAGUCGAACGGAAAGGCCCUGCUUUUGUGGGGUGCUCGAGUGGCGAACGGGUGAGUAACACGUGAGUAACCUGCCCUUUACUUUGGGAUAACUUCAGGAAACUGGGGCUAAUACCGGAUAGGAGCUCCUGCUGCAUGGUGGGGGUUGGAAAGUUUCGGCGGGUGGGGAUGGACUCGCGGCUUAUCAGCUUGUUGGGGGGGUAGUGGCUUACCAAGGCUUUGACCGGUAGCCGGCCUGAGAGGGUGGCCGGCCACAUUGGGACUGAGAUACGGCCCAGACUCCUACGGGAGGCAGCAGUGGGGAAUAGUGCACAAUGGGCGGAAGCCUGAUGCAGCAACGCCGCGUGCGGGAUGACGGCCUUCGGGUUGUAAACCGCUUUCGCCUGUGACGAAGCGUGAGUGACGGUAAUGGGUAAAGAAGCACCGGCUAACUACGUG